AACGCACCUUGCGCUCCUUGGUAUUCCGAGGAGCAUGCCUGUUUGAGUGUCAUGGAACUCUCAACCUUCAACGCUUUUGCGAGUGACGAAGGCUUGGACUUGGAGGUUGUGUUGGCGCAAGUCAACUCCUCUGAAAUGCAUUAGUGUGAACCUCACGGAUCGCCUUCAGCGUGAUAAUUAUCUGCGCUGUGGACGUUGAAGUGUUUUCGUGUUCGUGCUUCUAACUGUCCGCGAGGACAAGCAAAACAUUUGACAAUCUGACCUCAAAUCAGGUAGGACUACCCGCUGAACUUAA
rnacentral:misc_RNA from 1 species